AGAAAAACAUGGACGGAAGGCAGAGGAGCAUAAAUCUUGCGAGUUGCUUUUCCGAGACGGGCCAGAACCAGCCCUUAAAGGAAGACCCUGUGCGCUGCUGGCGGCUGUAGUCUUCUCAUUUCGAUUUCAACAAGUAGCCCCAGCCAGAGAAGCCUUAGAAGAUCAAGCCUCACAUCUCCUGGUCGUGGAAUUCCUUUCCGCGGGCCCCACUGCAGGCUCAGGCCUCCGUGUAACCCGAGCCGCCCCCACCUCCCAGCAGACAGCACAUUAAAGGGAGGUCUGCGGGCCAGCUGCAGAGACAGGUGUUGCACUCCCUCCCUUUACACCCGCCCCCAUUUAUUUGUCCUAAGAAUUCCUCUCCGGGGGCUGUGGAGCCCCGCCGAUGGGGUCGGGCUGACUUUCUAGUUGCGGGGUGCGGGAUGCCCGCGCUGCACCUGCUCGGUGGCUUAGCUCGCUGAGCCGGGCUUGCAGAGGCAGCGCGAUCCGUCCCCCCCGUUAAGGAGCCAGGGGGCCGCGGGGCCGCUCCCGGUCCACCCCACGACGUGUUUACCGACUCGGAUUCCAGCCCUGCUCUUUGCCGAGGGCUGACUCAUGCUGCUUUCUGAGAAACUGGAGAAGUGGAGAAAAUGCGGUGAUUAUUGUCCUUUUCUCGCCCGUGUUGCAGGGCCGUGAAAACCAGGCCCGGUGGAGUCCUAUCAAAUUUAAGGCCGGUAAGGGCAAAUCCAGAUCAAUUUUUAGGACGCGAUUAUCUAAAUGAGAAGGGUCGGAUAUCGCAGGCCUUGCUGCAGGCUCUGCUGUUGCUUCGACCCUACCUUUGGAGGGGGUCGGGAUUUUCCCCGGAGAGUGAGCUUAUAGGCUGAGGGAGGUGCCAACCUGUGGCCUGUCUGGCCUGGAUCACCAUGAUCCAUCAUGAGGUCUCCUCGUCGUCGUGGCAACUGAGGAAGCUGGAGGUGCUUAUUUAUCCUCCUAAUCUGAAGUUUAGCUGUGAAAAUCCCUCUUCGAGGGGCAUCAGUUGUUGUUGUUGUUGUUGUUGUUGUUGUUGUUGUUGUUGUUUUUCCACAAGCCACACCCAUGUUCAAACCCUCCUGGGUCUGCUCACCUGGGCUUGGGUAAUCUGGUUCUUCCUUCUCUCCUUUGCAGGAUUUGAGGUGAUGAGGAAUGUUUUCCAUAAUUAGACCAAAGGCUGUUGAUCAAUACAAAUCAGUAUUGGCCAUGGUUAACGGAAGACAGCUACGUUUGUCACUUAGGUAACGUGUAAUAAGUAGAUCCUACCCAUGGGUGAAACCAUAAGAUAAUGAGAGGACUGUGACUUACGAUACUUCCUUCCUGGUACUCAGAAUUGUCUCUUUCAAGAUGUUUGGAUGGGACACGGGCCACAUGGGAGAGAGUAUCCUGUUACUGUCUUCCCAGACUCCUGGAAGCUGGUCUUUAAAAUGGUGCGUUCUUCAUUUAAACCCUGGCAGCAUGCUUGGACCCUGCCUUGCUUUCUUCUUGCAGGAAAUCAGAUAACCCAGGAUGGUAGCAAGACUUCGGAAGUGGCCUUCCACCACCCUGUCACUUGUGGCCUUUUGAAAACACUGUGUUUCUCCCAUGCUUGGAAAACCCAUGCAGCCGCAGAAGGCCCAGCAUUCCAACCAUACACACUGCCAGACACACUCAGUGCACAUGGAGUUCUUGUAGGCCUUGAUGGCUACACUGUGACAUUUCUUCUGUCCCUGCUGUUUCCUGCUGCCCUCCUUUCUCCCUUUUCACUGGGUUAAUUCCUAUUUUCCUUGUAGCCCUACAUCAAACCCCCCAACCUUUCCUAAGCAGUGCUAGACACUUCCUUCUCACUUGGUCUCUUUCCCACACAUCAUUUUGUCAUCAUGUGCCAUGUGAUUUUUUUGCUCUGAUCUUUGUUUGCUUUGGAUCAUUUGUUUUAUGUGUCUCACUAGACCAUGCAUUCUUUGAGGAUCAGGAGGGUGUCCUAUUUAUUCACCUUUGUGAAGGUAAGUCAUUCUUCACACCCCCCACCUCCCACCCCCGCCUAUCUUCCAUGCUGCCACCUGGCAGUCCCAGAUGCAUGUAGGCACUCAGUUAGUCUUGGUUACAUUGACGAGUGAAGACAUGAGUGCAUAAAGCCAGACUUAUGAUUGAUCUUAAAAGGUUUGGGAGGACCAAGGCGGUUUCUAUAUCUGUGAAGGGGACAGUGAAUGCGGAGCAUGGAGAAGAGGAGGCUCCUAACUCCAGCUGCCCAUCUUCUGGGACUUUGCACUAACCGACUAAAAUGGACUAGUGUCACCCUUUACCCAUCGUCUUCCUUUCCAUCUAUUUACUGCUACUGAGUUCAGGAAGGGCUCACGAUAAGUGCGACAAUGUAGGAUGUUCAUAGCAUGUCAUCUUACCUCCCCUAAAAAUUGCUGACUAUGGUCCAUUUUAUCUAGUAGUUCACAUUUAUAAGUAAAAGAUUUACCUUUGCUUCUAAAUAAAAUGCAGAUUAAUAUAUUGGUGCACCAGAGACACAUAUCAAGGAGCAUGGUGCUUUUCUUCUUGGGCAGAAAGUAGUUAUUUUUGAUCCCAUGGUGUUCUUGUGCUGGUCUGUUUUAUCUUUCUUCUCCCUCUGCUCAUCUCACAGAGCUAUAGGCAAACUGUUCCAGCAACUUUCAGGAAUAUUCAGAACAGUCAUAUAGAAAGGGGUGCUGUGAAAUCCCAGUUUUACAGGGGAAGAAAGAGAAGCUCAGAGGUCAGUAACUUACCCGAAGGGCACAAAGCAGGCCAAGUGACAAAGCUGGAUUUCAAGCCCAUUCAGCCUGGGUCCAGAGUCCCUGCUGUCAACUGCUGUGAUAAGCUAUCUCUUACUCAGAAGUGGACUCCACACUCUAUGGAGGACAAAUUAUUUAUAAGGAGGGAAACCGAGCAGAUAAUUUACUGGAUCCCUUGGUAAUGCUCCAUAAAAGGAUAAAAAGGAGAGAAAAUUAAUAAUUUCACUUGUAGUUCCAGACCCUGGUAAACUUGUUCAUGUUCAUACGCUCUGUAGCUCAAACUGAAUAAUUGAGUACUUUCUGAAGUAAGUAACCAGUUCUAUAACUUGGAAAAAAAUCUCUGACUCCACUUAACUCAUGCAGAGGGCCAUGGCAUGAGGCCUAAAUGCCCAGGAGUUUAAGUCAAGAUACACUUACAUAGUAAAACUAUUCUUUUGUUGUUUUACUCUUUUCCUUCCUGCUUGGAGAACUUUUAAAGUUUAAAGCUAUCUACAAAUUGUCAUUUUGUCCCUAGAAAGCCGAGGUCAUAGAGAUACACGUCAGCUGUCAGAAGAGCCGCAAAGGAAGGUGAUAUUCCUUUGUAAUGGUUUCUGAGAAGAGAGGCCAUCAGAGUGAAAUCCAGUAAUCCUGCAUUUCUGAUUUCAUGUCUACUGAGAAUGCUCAGACUUGAGUGCAGACCUUGGUAGAGUACUGAUUGCUGAAAGUGGCAAUGAAGAACAGCUGGCCACCAUCCUCUGUGAUAAUAACCUUCAUAUAGUGGAAACUUGAAUGGCUUUGGACAUGGAAAAAACAACAUUGAUUUUAGAGGCUUUUGUUAUGGAGGCCAGGGGGAUUUUCCCACUGCCGCAAAGAGGAAGCUGGGCUUGGAUGGGGAAGCCAGACAUUUCUUGGCCUGAGUUUCUCACUUGAAUGGGAUUCCAGUUUGCCCCCUCCUCACCUCGCCAACCCCCAAGCAGCUCGAGGCCCCACCUCCUCCCUUGGACCAUAUGGGGAAGCUGGCUCAGUGGCUGUUAUUCUACGGACUCCAAGUUCACGCAGCUGUUCAUUCCCUGCUUAAUGCACCGAUUCCACAUAUGAAUGAUACCAUGCAGUAUUUGUCUUUCUCUGUCUGGCUUAUUUCACCUAACAUAAUGUCCUCCUGCUUCUUCCUUCGGAUUUGUAGUCUUCCGAGAAGAUCCGAACAAUCAACAAAUUAACCAAGUAAACAUAAAAUAUCAGUUGGUGAUAAGUUCUAUUGAGAGAAACCCAAAAGGAACUCUAGAACAUGUUCCCCAGGAACAACCCAGCUUAUGAUGACAAAUAACCUACAAAUAAAUGAACGUCUGAAAAGAAGGGAUUGAAAAAGCAAGUCGUGGCAUAUUCAAUCAGGGAAUAUUAUGCAACAAUGAAAAUGAAUGUGAUAACUCAAUGUAACAUCGUAGGUGGAUCUUAGCAAUGUCAAUAUCAGUGACAAUAAGUUCAUAGAUAUUAAAAACAUCUGAUGCAUUUUUCACGAAGUCAAACACAUACAACCAAACCAUAUACUUUUAAGGUGAAACACAUAGAUGUGUUUAAUAAUAUAAAAUAACUUUUUUAAAGCUGUUAAUAUAAGAUUUGGUAUUGUAAUUAUUUUGGAUGAAGGGAGAGCUUUCAUGUUGGAUGUUGGACUCAUUCAUUUAAUUGUGUUAUUUUGAAGGAAAAAAAUGAAGGAAGAAAGGAAAGAAAGAAAGAAAGAAAGAAAGAAAGAAAGAAAGAAGGGAGGGAGGGAGGCCUUCUCAUGAAUUAAUAUUGAGUGUAUGUCAUGAACCCAGGAUUAUGAUUAAUCUGAUUUUAUGCUCCUGAGGUAAGGGUUGGGGAGAGUUAUGGGGUAGUUGUUUGUAGUUUGUUUACUUGUUUUUUUUAUAGGGUUGUUAAGGAAGUUCUCUGUAAGGAAAUGACAUUUGAGCAGAGACAUUAAUGGAGAGAAGCCCAAAGAACAAGGGUAGUGCUGUAGCAGGGGGAAGGGGGAGUAAGAGAGAGGACCAGCAGCAGGAGGUGAGUCAGGGAGGUAGCAGAAGCAGGUCAUCUUGGGCAUUAUAGGCCAUGAAAAGCACUUUUACAUUUACUCCAAAGGAAACUGGAAGCCACUGAAAGGUUCUGAGUAGGAGUAACAUUAUAUAUUGCAUGUUUUGAAAGGAGCAAUAUAUAAUGCAGAAGUUGUAGUAGUUGUCCUGCUGUAGUGUGGGAAUGGGUAUACCAGCAUUUUUCUGGCAUAGUUGACAUUUUGGGCUAGAUAAUUCUUUGCUGUAGAGGGUUUGCAUGGUAGGAUAUCUAGCAGCACUCAUGGCUUCUUAUAGAGCUAUAGCAACCCCAACCCACUUGUAACAACCAGAAACAUCUGUAGACAUUGUCAAGUGUCUCCUUGGGGCAAAUUCAUUUCUGGUUGUGAAUCAAUGGAGGGCACCAAAGUUGGAAAAAUAUAGAAGCAGAGAGAGGAAGUAGGAAAAUCUAGCUAUAUCCACUGGAGACCAGAGCUGUGACUAGGAUAGCAGUGCUUGUUGUCCGUCCCCCUUUUCUUUUUCUAUAUUUUUUUACUUUUUUAUAAUUCUCAUUUUUUACAUUUUUAUAAUUCUCAUAAAUUUUAUUCAUCUUCAAUGAGGUAUAAAUUACAAAUAAAACUGUAAGAU